rnacentral:rRNA from 1 species
CCUACGGGUGACAGCAGUGGGGGAUAUUGGACAAUGGGGGAAAGUCUGAUCCAGCGAUGCCGCGUGCGUGAAGAAGUAUCUCGGUAUGUAAAGCUCUGUUAGUAGGGAAGAAAGAAUUGACGGUACUUGUCCAAGAAGACCCGGCUAACUACGUGCCAGCAGUAGCGGUAAUACGGAGGAGGCAAGCGUUAUCCGGAAUUAAUGGGUGUAAAGGGAGCGUAGACGGUGAUGCAAGUCAGGAGUGAAAGGCGGGGGCCCAACCCCUGAACUGCUCUGGAAACUGUGGAACUUGAGUGCAGGUGAGGUAGGCGGAAUUCCUGGUGUAGCGGUGAAAUGCUUAGAGAUUAUGAAGAACACCGAUUGCGAAGGCAGCUUACUAAACUAUAACUGACGUUGAGGCUCGAAAGCGUGGGGAGCAAACAGGAUUAGAUACCCUAGUAGUC